rnacentral:rRNA from 1 species
AUGCAGGUCCAGCUUUCACAACAACCUGAUAAACUGCGCUGGAAUCUCACUAGGUCGGGGGAAUUCACAGUUAAAUCCAUGUAUGUUGCUGUUAUCAACUCCAGCUCGAUUCCUACUUCCAAGCAUGUGUGGGAUGUCAAAGUUCCUUUGAAGAUUAAGGUGUUUAUGUGGUUUCUUCAUAAACAAGUCAUCUUAACAAAGGAUAAUUUAAAAAAGCGCAAUUGGACAGGUCCUACUAGGUGUAGUUUCUGUGAUCAGGGUGAAACCAUUAAGCAUUUAUUCCUUGAGUGCCCACUAGCUAGAAUUCUUUGGACAACUGUUCAUGUUGCUUUCAAUAUUACUCCACCAAAUUCGGUGAAUAUGAUGUUUGGAGCUUGGCUUAAUAGGGUAGAGCCCGGGUUAGCUAAACAUAUU